CCUACGGGAGGCUGCAGUGGGGAAUAUUGGACAAUGGGCGAAAGCCUGAUCCAGCCAUGCCGCGUGUGUGAAGAAGGCCUUCGGGUUGUAAAGCACUUUCAGUGGGGAAGAAAGCCUUGGGGCUAAUACCCUCGAGGAAGGACAUCACCCACAGAAGAAGCACCGGCUAACUCCGUGCCAGCAGCCGCGGUAAUACGGAGGGUGCGAGCGUUAAUCGGAAUUACUGGGCGUAAAGCGCGCGUAGGCGGUCUGAUAAGCCGGUUGUGAAAGCCCCGGGCUCAACCUGGGAACGGCAUCCGGAACUGUCAGGCUAGAGUGCAGGAGAGGAAGGUAGAAUUCCCGGUGUAGCGGUGAAAUGCGUAGAGAUCGGGAGGAAUACCAGUGGCGAAGGCGGCCUUCUGGACUGACACUGACGCUGAGGUGCGAAAGCGUGGGUAGCAAACAGGAUUAGAUACCCUAGUAGC
rnacentral:rRNA from 1 species